CUAUCCCUAACUGAGAAGCUCUCUCCAGCUGGCAAUGUCUCACAAAGGAAAAGCUGGUCUCUCUAAUGGAGUCUCGCUGGGUGUACAGAUCACAGGGUAUGGAGAGAUGGAUCUGUGGUUAAAAGCACUGACUGCUCUUCCAGAGGACCAAGGUUCAGCACCCACAUGGCAGAUCAUAACCAUCUGGGAUUCCAGUUUCAGGUGAUCCAAUGCCACCUUCUGGCCACCAGUGGUACUGCAGACACAUGGUGUACAAACAUUCAGUCUUCAUACUCAUCCACAUAAAAAUUGUAAGAAAAGCGUUCAAAAAUGUUAAAAUAUUCUUGUUAUGCUUCACAGUGUAUUUGUAGCCCACUGUCCUGAUGUACUUGUCAAAUGUCUGCCUCUUCCUCCCCAGAACUUGUGAAUACUUUCCUUACAUGGCAAGAGAGGUUUUAGAGAAAUGAUUAACUUAGGGAGCCUGAGGUGGGAGAUGAUUGUGACUGUUCAGGUGGAGUUGAUGGGCUUUGGGGACAGGGGAAGGGGUCGUGAGCCAAGGAAAAGGGGCAGCCUUCAAAGCAACAGAAAGCUCUAGGGAGAAUGCAGCCUUGUCGAUGCUUCAAUGUUAGCUCAGUGAAACGCAUCAAACUCUAAAUAAAAUUUGAAUAAAUUUGUUUUUAUUUAAGCUA
rnacentral:lncRNA from 1 species